AACGUAGGAGGCAAGCGUUAUCCGGAUUUACUGGGCGUAAAGCGUGUGCAGGCGGUUGUCCAAGUCGGGUAUGAAAGCGCUCCGCUUAACGGGGCGAGGCUAGACGAGACUGGGCGACUAGAAUCAGACAGAGGCAAGCGGAAUUCCGGGUGUAGUGGUGAAAUGCGUAGAUAUCAAGUGGAACACCAGUGGCGAAGGCGAGUCCCUGGACAACACCUGACACUGAGGCACGAAAGCUAGGGGAGCAAACAGG
rnacentral:rRNA from 1 species